rnacentral:rRNA from 1 species
UACGGGGGGGGGCAAGCGUUGUUCGGAAUUACUGGGCGUAAAGGGCUCGUAGGCGGCCAACUAAGUCAUACGUGAAAUCCCUCGGCUUAACCGGGGAACUGCGUCUGAUACUGGAUGGCUUGAGUUCGGGAGAGGGAAGCGGAAUUCCGCGUGUAGCGGUGAAAUGCGUAGAUAUCCGGAGGAACACCGGUGGCGAAGGCGGCUCACUGGACCGGUUCUGACGCUGAGGCGCGAAAGCGUGGGGAGCAAACGGG